AGAGUUUGAUUAUGGCUCAGAUUGAACGCUGGCGGCAUGCUUUACACAUGCAAGUCGAACGGCAGCACGGGAGCUUGCUCCUGGUGGCGAGUGGCGAACGGGUGAGUAAUGCGUCGGAACGUACCGAGUAAUGGGGGAUAACGCAGCGAAAGCUGUGCUAAUACCGCAUACGCCCUGAGGGGGAAAGUGGGGGAUCGCAAGACCUCACGUUAUUCGAGCGGCCGACGUCUGAUUAGCUAGUUGGUGGGGUAAAGGCUCACCAAGGCGACGAUCAGUAGCGGGUCUGAGAGGAUGAUCCGUCACACUGGAACUGAGACACGGUCCAGACUCCUACGGGAGGCAGCAGUGGGGAAUUUUGGACAAUGGGGGCAACCCUGAUCCAGCCAUUCCGCGUGAGUGAAGAAGGCCUUCGGGUUGUAAAGCUCUUUCAGCCGGAACGAAACGGUACGCACUAAUAUUGUGUGCUAAUGACGGUACCGGCAGAAGAAGCACCGGCUAACUACGUGCCAGCAGCCGCGGUAAUACGUAGGGUGCGAGCGUUAAUCGGAAUUACUGGGCGUAAAGCGUGCGCAGGCGGAUUGUUAAGCAAGAUGUGAAAUCCCCGGGCUUAACCUGGGAAUGGCAUUUUGAACUGGCAGUCUAGAGUGUGUCAGAGGGGGGGUGGAAUUCCACGUGUAGCAGUGAAAUGCGUAGAUAUGUGGAGGAACACCAAUGGCGAAGGCAGCCCCCUGGGAUAACACUGACGCUCAUGUACGAAAGCGUGGGUAGCAAACAGGAUUAGAUACCCUGGUAGUCCACGCCCUAAACGAUGUCAACUGGUUGUUGGGGGGAGUGAAAUCCCUUAGUAACGAAGCUAACGCGUGAAGUUGACCGCCUGGGGAGUACGGUCGCAAGAUUAGAACUCAAAUGAAUUGACGG
rnacentral:rRNA from 1 species